AUGAACGCUAGCGACAGGCUUAACACAUGCAAGUCGAGGGGCAGCGGGGGUAGCAAUACCCGCCGGCGACCGGCGCACGGGUGAGUAACGCGUAUGCAACUUACCUAUCAGAGGGGGAUAACCCGGCGAAAGUCGGACUAAUACCGCAUGAAGCAGGGGCCCCGCAUGGGGAUAUUUGCUAAAGAUUCAUCGCUGAUAGAUAGGCAUGCGUUCCAUUAGGCAGUUGGCGGGGUAACGGCCCACCAAACCGACGAUGGAUAGGGGUUCUGAGAGGAAGGUCCCCCACAUUGGUACUGAGACACGGACCAAACUCCUACGGGAGGCAGCAGUGAGGAAUAUUGGUCAAUGGGCGUAAGCCUGAACCAGCCAAGUCGCGUGAGGGAUGAAGGUUCUAUGGAUCGUAAACCUCUUUUAUAAGGGAAUAAAGUGUGGGACGUGUCCCGUUUUGUAUGUACCUUAUGAAUAAGGAUCGGCUAACUCCGUGCCAGCAGCCGCGGUAAUACGGAGGAUCCGAGCGUUAUCCGGAUUUAUUGGGUUUAAAGGGUGCGUAGGCGGCCUUUUAAGUCAGCGGUGAAAGUCUGUGGCUCAACCAUAGAAUUGCCGUUGAAACUGGGGGGCUUGAGUAUGUUUGAGGCAGGCGGAAUGCGUGGUGUAGCGGUGAAAUGCAUAGAUAUCACGCAGAACCCCGAUUGCGAAGGCAGCCUGCCAAGCCAUGACUGACGCUGAUGCACGAAAGCGUGGGGAUCAAACAGGAUUAGAUACCCUGGUAGUCCACGCAGUAAACGAUGAUCACUAGCUGUUUGCGAUACACUGUAAGCGGCACAGCGAAAGCGUUAAGUGAUCCACCUGGGGAGUACGCCGGCAACGGUGAAACUCAAAGGAAUUGACGGGGGCCCGCACAAGCGGAGGAACAUGUGGUUUAAUUCGAUGAUACGCGAGGAACCUUACCCGGGUUUGAACGCAUUCGGACCGAGGUGGAAACACCUUUUCUAGCAAUAGCCGUUUGCGAGGUGCUGCAUGGUUGUCGUCAGCUCGUGCCGUGAGGUGUCGGCUUAAGUGCCAUAACGAGCGCAACCCUUGCCACUAGUUACUAACAGGUAAAGCUGAGGACUCUGGUGGGACUGCCAGCGUAAGCUGCGAGGAAGGCGGGGAUGACGUCAAAUCAGUACGGCCCUUACAUCCGGGGCGACACACGUGUUACAAUGGCGUGGACAAAGGGAGGCCACCUGGCGACAGGGAGCGAAUCCCCAAACCACGUCUCAGUUCGGAUCGGAGUCUGCAACCCGACUCCGUGAAGCUGGAUUCGCUAGUAAUCGCGCAUCAGCCAUGGUGCGGUGAAUACGUUCCCGGGCCUUGUACACACCGCCCGUCAAGCCAUGGGAGCCGGGGGUACCUGAAGUCCGUAACCGCGAGGAUCGGCCUAGGGUAAAACUGGUGACUGGGGCU
rnacentral:rRNA from 1 species